GAGAAAGCAGGCUCCCCUCUGUGGCUUCUAUUUAUGUAACGUGUGUCACAGUGGACUCACAGACUCUGGUUCCGACGUGAUCGCAGGAAACAGUUUAUUUUUUCCGGACAGUGGCUUGAGGGUACCAUCGUUGAAGACCCCAACGCAGCUGCAGAUUCUCGUGUCCUGGGAGAUAUUGGCUUGCAUGGUGACUGUCAGUACCACCCAUCUGCUCUGCCCUCGAGGACUCCGCCAUGCUGCUGGAAGGAAACCAUCACUGUCAUCACUCCCAACCUCAGAGAAGAGAGACAAGGGGCUCAGAUGGCUUGCAGCACUGGCGGGUGAAAUAAAGAAAGAACCGGGCCCUUGUGAGACCCUCCGGGUGGAUGAAGCAAAAGCCACCUUCAGAAAGAGAGACAGACAGCUUAGUCUUGGUGUCAAGUCUGAUCCCAGCACUGGAGGAGAGUGUGGGAAAAGCAGGAGGCAAAGAUCAUCUUCAGGUCAUUCCGGACUCCUGAUGCCGCCAGUCCCUCAGUGAGACGUGAGCGCCAUUGGCGUCCGUGGCCUCUGUUUCCGUGGCAACCCAGUAACCAUUAAUUUUCAAUUAAAGGAGACAAAAAGCUGGAUGACAGCUCUGGGUCUGCUGAAGAUGUCAAGAAUCUGUAUUAAUAUACAGCAAGAGAGCAUAAUUGUGUGUCCAUCUUCCAGAGCGGUGAAAAAUGGGGGGAUAAUUACCGGCUCGAAAGCCACUCUGUAAUUUAGUUCUUACUGUCACCACAGCCCUACACAUUAGCAUAAAUUAAAAGCAGGGUUUAUUGUUAUCG